GGAUGUGAGGGCGAUCUGGCUGUGGCAUCUGUCACCCUAUUGAUCGCCAGGGUUGAUUCGGCUGAUCUGGCUGGCUAGGCGGGUGUCCCCUUCCUCCCUCACCGUGUGCGCUAGGUCGAAGAGGAUGACCUUCCCCGAAUAGAGGAGGACCGGUCUUCGGUCAAGGGUAUACAAGUAGCUGCGCUCCCCUGCUAGAACCUCCAAAUAAGCUCAAGGUAUAACAAGUCUUAAUAAUCUGAAUUCACAAUUGCUCAAUUGCUCUUUGAGGUUGCCAUGCUUA
rnacentral:snRNA from 1 species